rnacentral:tRNA from 1 species
GCGCACUUGGUGGCUCGGAGGCCGAGCAGUUGGUGUGCUGGAGAGUCCUCGGUGCAGGCUCCUACGGAUCAGAAGGUUGGGGGUUCGAAUCCCUCCGAGCGCG